GAUCAUGGCUCAGGAUGAACGCUAGCUACAGGCUUAACACUGCAAGUCGAGGGGCAGCAUUCUUCUAGCAAUAGAAGAGGUGGCGACCGGCGCACGGGUGAGUAACACGUAUCCAACCUACCGAUAACUCCGGAAUAGCCUUUCGAAAGAAAGAUUAAUACCGGAUAGUAUACGAAUAUCGCAUGAUAUUUUUAUUAAAGAAUUUCGGUUAUCGAUGGGGAUGCGUUCCAUUAGUUUGUUGGCGGGGUAACGG
rnacentral:rRNA from 1 species